rnacentral:lncRNA from 1 species
CGUGGAGUUGGUUAAGGAGAGUGGAGUGGUGUCCGUUGUCGCAAUUUGCCAGAGAGUGAUAGAGCCCAAAGAGUGGAGUGGGGUAAUGGCCAUUGUCAUGACUUGUCAGAAAGUUCAGACCUGUCGGCUGGAGCUCGGCUGGGAUAUCUGAUGGAGUGGAGUGGCUCUCUGUCCCAUCGAUCUAGGAGAAGCUCGGAUGUUUCUGAGGUUACUGAUGAGUCUAUUAUUGUCGGAUGCCUCAGGCGCCGAUGCUACAGGCGGGAGUCAUCUGCUGUAGAAGCUUGGAUGGAGACUUUUUGUUGGUGAAGUCUGGUAGGGGUCCGAUUGCUAGAGAAGUCCGUCUGGGAUUCGCCUGAUGUGGAAGCUCGUCUAAAGGUUAUCCAUCAGAGAAGUCCAGUUUCAUGAAAGAUCUGGUGGAGGGUCGGCCGAUAGUGAAAUUCAGAAGGUGUUGUAAAAGGUUGACCGAUAGAAGAGUCCGGAAGGCACUGUGGAAGUUCGUCUGUCGGAGGAGUCUGGAGGACACCGUGGAAGGUCGGCUACUUGAGGAGUCCGGAUGGAAUUUGUCCGUUGGAGGGGUCUGGUUGGAACUGUUGAAGUCCGGCUGCUGCUGGAGCCUGUCCGUUGUAGAAGUUCGCCUGGAAUCCAUCUAUUGUAGAAGUUUGGACGGAGUCUGGCUCUUGUAGAAGGCUGAAAGGAGACUGCUUAUUGUAGAAGCUCAGUCGAAGAUCGAUUGUCAUGGGAGCUCAGAGUAGCGACCUGGCCAGUGGAUCCUGUCCCCUUGUAGAAGCUCGUCUGAGAUCCGACUACGAAGAAGUUUGGCUGAAGUCUACCUGCAAUAGAAGUUCGGAAGAAAUUUGUUUACAGUAGGGGCUCGAAUGAAAUUUGCUUACAAUAGAUAUCCGGGGUAGACCGCCCGCUGUAGGAGUUCGAAGUAGAUCGCUUGUAGUAGAAGUUCGGAGUAGACCGCUCGUAGUAAAAGUUCAGAGUAGACCGCUCAUAGUAGACCGUUUGUAGUAGAAGUUUGGAGUAGGCCACUCAUAGUAGAAGUUCGGAGUAGAUCACUUGUAGUAGAAGUUCGGCUCUUACAGGAGCUCGGUUGGAAUUCUGAAGGCGGUCGACCGUCCUAGAAACUUGGAUGGAGUCUGAUUUCUGCAGAAGCCCUAUCGUUGGGAAAGCUCGAUUAUCGAUGAAGCCCGAAAGGAGUUUGGAGUAAAGUCGAUCAUGGCUGGGGGAAGUCUGGAAGAGAUUCGGAGAAUAGUUGGUUACUGUAGAAGAUCGGCUAAUAGUGAAGCCCGGAGAGUAUUUAGAGCGGCCCGGUAGAUGAAUGGAGAGACUCAUUAUCGGAGAAGUCUGGAUGGCAUUAUGGAAGCUCGGACGGUCGAGAGGGUUCAGAGAGACUCCUCACA